CCUACGGGUGGCAGCAGUGGGGGAUAUUGCACAAUGGGGGAAACCCUGAUGCAGCGACGCCGCGUGAGUGAAGAAGGAUUUCGGUAUGUAAAGCUCUAUCAGCAGGGAAGAAAAUGACAGUACCUGACCAAGAAGCCAUGGCUAACUACGUGCCAGCAGCCGCGGUAAUACGUAGGGGGCAAGCGUUAUCCGGAUUUACUGGGUGUAAAGGGAGCGUAUACGGUUAGGUAAGUUCGGAGUGAAAGCCGCGGGCCCAACCCCGGGACAGCUUUGGAAACUGUGUAACUGGAGUACAGGAGAGGCAGGCGGAAUUCCUGGUGUAGCGGUGAAAUGCGUAGAUAUCAGGAGGAACACCGGCGGCGAAGGCGGCCUGCUGGACUGAAACUGACGUUGAGGCUCGAAAGCGUGGGGAGCGAACAGGAUUAGAUACCCUUGUAGUC
rnacentral:rRNA from 1 species